rnacentral:lncRNA from 1 species
AGAUUCUGUUAGAUCUGUGUGAAAGAAUUUACGCAGUAAUCUCCUUCUUCGAGAUCUAGAAGAAGAGAUCUAGAUCCAAGGCUGAGGAAUGAGAUCUGUAAGGUGCUAGCAUAUCACUGAUCUUGAUAUUUUGAUCAGACAUCUCUGUAUAGAUACCAGCAAAGGUCGAACACAUGUGCGGCUACGAUCAGAAUCCGAAACAUCUG